AGAAACUGGAUUGGUUGAAAAGAAUGUCGACACCCUCUGUCGGUUGGGUGAAAGGCUUAAACAGCAACAAACGACCCCUGGCCAGGCUGGCUAAACUCUGCCCUCAUUACGUGGCUGACUCCCAUUCUCACUCCUAUGUUAGUAAUAGGAUUUCUAUUAAUGAUUGCUCCCUGCCUCCUCAGGUUAGCUUGAGUGAAAUUGCCAGAGUGACCUACAACCAGAUGCUCCUACACCCCUACAGUCGCCUCCCCAAGGAACCAACACCAGAGCCACCCCCUUCC
rnacentral:lncRNA from 1 species